UACGAGGGGGGCAAGCGUUGUUCGGAAUUAUUGGGCGUAAAGGGCGCGUAGGCGGUGCGGUAAGUCUGAUGUGAAAUCUCCGGGCUCAACUCGGAGUCUGCAUCAGAAACUGCCGUGCUUGAGUGUGGGAGAGGCGAGUGGAAUUCCUGGUGUAGCGGUGAAAUGCGCAGAUAUCAGGAGGAACACCAAUGGCGAAGGCAGCUCGCUGGGACGGUACUGACGCUGAGGCGCGAAAGCGUGGGGAGCAAACAGG
rnacentral:rRNA from 1 species